rnacentral:rRNA from 1 species
UUGGAGGGCAAGUCUGGUGCCCGCAGCCGCGGUAAUUCCAGCUCCAAUAGCGUAUAUUAAAGUUGUUGCAGUUAAAAACGCUCGUAGUUGAACCUUGGGUCUGGCUGGCCGGUCCGCCUCACCGCGAGUACUGGUCCGGCUGGACCUUUCCUUCUGGGGAACCUCAUGGCCUUCACUGGCUGUGGGGGGAACCAGGACUUUUACUGUGAAAAAACUUAGAGUGUUCAAAGCAGGCCUUUGCUCGAAUACAUUAGCAUGGAAUAAUAGAAUAGGACGUGCGG